AGAAAACAGCAGCUGAUGAUCUGAAGCCAGGCUGUGCUAUUGUCCGGCACACAAAUGUUCUACAAGGACCCAGACCACCAUGCAGUUCUCUGUGCACAGACUAUGAAGUGAGCCCAUACUGUGCACCUAGAAGUCUUCCCAGGAAUGAGGGGAUUCCCAGGACACCAGACUUUCUGCUAAAACCAGAAAAACCUCAGGCCCAUUGCAGCAAAUCUACUUGCGGUGGACAUUGUGCCUUCAAAGACAAGACACGGUGCCUACCCUCAAGACGUCACAGCCUGGGAGAGAAGACAGACAAUAUAGAGUUCUGAGUGCUUUGAAAGAGGAGAACUCAGUUGCUCUGGCAACUUGCACACUUGUAAGGCCUCAGUUCAGCAAGGGCAACGAGGGAAGGCUUCCUGGCAGAGAAGGAUAUCUGCUUUAAUUCUGAAAGAUCACUAAAGAUGCCUGCUUUGUGGCCCCAACCCAAAUGGGGUCUCCGCAGAGAUUUCCUUAAUCGUAGGACACUGGGCACCCACAUGUCUGACUCUUUCCCACUGUGCCCUCCCCAGCAGAGAACCACAUCACUAUCUGGCCUCAGAUUCUACUGGCUCCCAAAUUCUUCUAAUUGUAUUGCUUUGUUUGAUUCAGAAGCACUGGAAGAAGGGGGUAAUAACAUUCAGGCAAAAGAAGGCUGUUGAUCACAUCUGUAAUUCUUUCUGGAAUAAAGAGAACUAGGGGACAUCUACAAGAAUGUAUAUUCAUCUAAAUUCGUGGGACAGAGGAGUCAGGCAGAAAGGCUUUUCAAAGGCGUGCUGCAUCUUGCUCGGCUGGAAAUGUCUUUCAAUAAGGAGGCAACACAGAGGCCAUGUGAUACAAUCCCGUAGACAGAGCCAAGUGGAAUACAUCAAAGAGAGCCUUGAUGCAGAUGUUUCAUGCAGAAGAAAAUUAGGGUUUGCAAAGCAGUGGCAGAAAAGUAUCAGAAAAGUGCUCAAAGGUCCACGUCUGCUCCAAUCCGGGAUGGGAAGCCAUCAUGAGGAUGUUGCCUUUCUUCCCUGCAUUUAAAAGGCUUUAUCUGGUUUAAAAAAUGAUACUAGUCUUUCUGCUUUUCUUCUUCAACUUGAUCUCCUCUCCACCAGCACUCUCCUACCACUGUUUCUCUCUCUCUCUCUCUCUCUCUCUCUCUCUCUCUCUCUCACACACACACACACACACACACACACACACACUCAAUUAAAAUUUCCAAGGAGGGCAGAAGUGCAGGGAAGCAGUGACAGUGGAGUAGAAAGGUGACCUGAUAAAAAGACCUAGUUUCAAUCCCACCUUUGUGUGGAUGGGAGAAGCAACUCUCUUCUGUGGGCUCAGUGUUCUCACCUGGAGAAGUGUGGGUGCUGCUCCUUGAUACCCUCACAGCUUUGCCACUGAUUCCAUAAAUAGCCUUUCUCAGGAAAUUGAUGUUGUCUGGAAAUGUCUGGCUGUGGGUUGUAACCACAUAUCUACCUACUAAGAUGUUACU